rnacentral:rRNA from 1 species
UACGAAGGGGGCUAGCGUUGUUCGGAAUUACUGGGCGUAAAGCGCGCGCAGGCGGUCCUUUAAGUCAGGGGUGAAAGCCCAGAGCUCAACUCUGGAACUGCCUUUGAAACUAGAGGACUUGGGUACGGGAGAGGUGAGUGGAAUUCCGAGUGUAGAGGUGAAAUUCGUAGAUAUUCGGAAGAACACCAGUGGCGAAGGCGGCUCACUGGCCCGUUACUGACGCUGAGGUGCGAAAGCGUGGGGAGCAAACAGG